rnacentral:rRNA from 1 species
GCUGGCGGCGUGCUUAACACAUGCAAGUCGAGUGCGCAGUUUUUCCGCCGCAAGGUGGAGAGAUGGGCGCACGGCGCACGGGUGCGUAACACGUGGGUAACCUGCCCUCUGAUGGGGGAUAACCCGCCGAAAGGCGGGCUAAUACCGCAUGACAUCCCCACGAUUUCGAUCGUGGGAAUCAAAGCCCGCAAGGGCGUCGGAGGAGGGGCCCGCGCCCGAUUAGCUUGUUGGCGAGGUAACGGCUCACCAAGGCUAUGAUCGGUAGCCGGUCUGAGAGGAUGGCCGGCCACACUGGAACUGAGACACGGUCCAGUCUCCUACGGGAGGCAGCAGUGGGGAAUCUUGCGCAAUGGGCGAAAGCCUGACGCAGCGACGCCGCGUGGGGGAUGAAGCUUCUCGGAGUGUAAACCCCUUUCGACCCGGACGAAUGGCCCGCAAGGGACGUGACGGUACGGGUAGAAGAAGCCCCGGCUAACUACGUGCCAGCAGCCGCGGUAAAACGUAGGGGGCCAGCGUUGCUCGGAAUUACUGGGCGUAAAGGGUUCGUA